UCUUCUCAAGAAUAUAAAAUGAAGAAAGUUCAUUUAAUUUAACUAAUAAAUAUACAAAUCAAAACACGUAAUAAAUAUUUGUAACGAGUGUUUCUGUGAUAUAAAAUUGGACACCAACAUUUGGAAGCUGUUCUUGUGAUUUUGAUUUUAUGUAUUGUGGUAUUGGGAUGCUUAAUAAAUUUCUUCUUCAAUGUUAACAUUAACAGUUGAACACUAAACAACAGGACUACACUUCUAUGCU
rnacentral:lncRNA from 1 species